rnacentral:rRNA from 1 species
CCUACGGGGAGGCAGCAGGUGGGGAAUAUUGGACAAUGGACGCAAGUCUGAUCCAGCAAUGCCGCGUGAGUGAUGAAGGCCUUAGGGUUGUAAAGCUCUUUUACCAGGGAUGAUAAUGACAGUACCUGGAGAAUAAGCUCCGGCUAACUCCGUGCCAGCAGCCGCGGUAAUACGGAGGGAGCUAGCGUUGUUCGGAAUUACUGGGCGUAAAGCGCACGUAGGCGGUUACUCAAGUCAGAGGUGAAAGCCCGGGGCUCAACCCCGGAACUGCCUUUGAAACUAGGUAACUAGAAUCCUGGAGAGGUGAGUGGAAUUCCGAGUGUAGAGGUGAAAUUCGUAGAUAUUCGGAAGAACACCAGUGGCGAAGGCGGCUCACUGGACAGGUAUUGACGCUGAGGUGCGAAAGCGUGGGGAGCAUACAGGAUUAGAUACCCUGGUAGUCCACGCCGUAAACGAUGAUAACUAGCUGUCCGGGCACAUGGUGUUUGGGUGGCGCAGCUAACGCAUUAAGUAUCCGCCUGGGGAGUACGGUGCAAGAUUAAAACUCAAAGGAAUUGACGGNUGAGAGNGCGAGCGACACGAGGAGAG